UCCAUAUCAAUUCGCAGAUGC
rnacentral:miRNA from 1 species